CAACAACAAGAGGACGAAGAAGAAGAAGAAGAUUGUUACUUUCUUGAUCGAUAAUGGCGUCGAAUGAAGCUGGAAGGGCAUUGCCGAA
rnacentral:sRNA from 1 species